rnacentral:rRNA from 1 species
UACGGAGGGUGCAAGCGUUAUCCGGAUUUACUGGGUUUAAAGGGUGCGUAGGUGGGUUGGUAAGUCAGUGGUGAAAUACUUUCGCUUAACGAAGGAACUGCCAUUGAUACUACCAGUCUUGAAUACAGUGGAGGUAGGCGGAAUGCGUCAUGUAGCGGUGAAAUGCUUAGAUAUGACGCAGAACACCAAUUGCGAAGGCAGCUUGCUACACUGUUAUUGACGCUGAGGCACGAAAGCGUGGGGAUCAAACAGG